AUCUACAGCAGUGCUACCCUGGACAAGCCCGAUCCUGUCUGAUCUUGGAAGCUAAGCAGGGUCAGGCCUAGUUAGUACUUGGAUGAGAGACUACCUAGGAGGACCAGGUGCUGUAGGUG
rnacentral:rRNA from 1 species